rnacentral:rRNA from 1 species
UGCCAGACUCCUACGGGAGGCAGCAGUGGGGAAUAUUGGGCAAUGGGCGCAAGCCUGACCCAGCAACGCCGCGUGAAGGAAGAAGGCUUUCGGGUUGUAAACUUCUUUUCUCAGGGACGAAGCAAGUGACGGUACCUGAGGAAUAAGCCACGGCUAACUACGUGCCAGCAGCCGCGGUAAUACGGAGGAUGCGAGCGUUAUCCGGAUUUAUUGGGUUUAAAGGGUGCGUAGGCGGACGCUUAAGUCAGCGGUAAAAUUGCGGGGCUCAACCUCGUCGAGCCGUUGAAACUGAUGUUCUUGAGUGGGCGAGAAGUAUGCGGAAUGCGUGGUGUAGCGGUGAAAUGCAUAGAUAUCACGCAGAACUCCGAUUGCGAAGGCAGCAUACCGGCGCCCAACUGACGCUGAAGCACGAAAGCGUGGGUAUCGAACAGGAUUAGAUACCCCAGUAU